rnacentral:misc_RNA from 1 species
GAUGAAGAACGUAGCGAAAUGGGAUAAGUAAUGUGAAUUGCAGAAUUCCGUGAAUCAUCGAAUCUUUGAACGCACAUUGCGCCCCCUGGCAUUCCGGGGGGCAUGCCUGUCCGAGCGUCAUUUCUGCCCUCAAGCACGGCUUGUGUGUUGGGUGUGGUCCCCCCGGGGACCUGCCCGAAAGGCAGCGGCGACGUCCGUCUGGUCCUCGAGCGUAUGGGGCUCUGUCACUCGCUCGGGAAGGACCUGCGGGGGUUGGUCACCACUAUAUUUUACCACGGUUGACCUCGGAUCAGGUAGGAGUUACCCGCUGAACUUAAGCAUAUCAAUAAGCGGAGGA